UCAGAGAAGAAUUUUGACGGUAUCUGAGGAAUAAGCAUCGGCUAACUCCGUGCCAGCAGCCGCGGUAAGACGGAGGAUGCAAGCGUUAUCCGGAAUGAUUGGGCGUAAAGCGUCUGUAGGCGGUUUCUUCAGUCGACUGUCAAAGAUCAGGGCUUAACCCUGGGCAGGCAGUCGAAACUAAGAAGCUUGAGUACGGUAGGGGCAGAGGGAAUUCCCGGUGUAGCGGUGAAAUGCGUAGAGAUCGG
rnacentral:rRNA from 1 species